CACGUAGGCACCAAGCGUUGUCCGGAUGUAUUGGGCGGAAAGAGCUCGUAGGCGGUUCAGUAAGGCAGGUGUGAAAUCUUUGGGCUUAACCCAAAGCGUGCACUUGAUACUGCUGUGACUUGAGUUCGGUAGGGGAGUGGGGAAUUCCUAGUGUAGCGGUGAAAUGCGCAGAUAUUAGGAGGAACCCCGGUGGCGAAGGCGCCACUCUGGGCCGAAACUGACGCUGAGGAGCGAAAGCGUGGUUAGCAAACAGG
rnacentral:rRNA from 1 species